GAUGAACGCUGGCGGCGUGCCUAAUACAUGCAAGUCGAGCGGGCAGCGCGAGUAGUUUACUACUUGGCGGCGAGCGGCGGACGGCUGAGUAACGCGGUAGGAACGUACCCCAAAGUGAGGGAUAAGCACCAGAAAUGGUGUCUAAUACCGCAUGUGAUCUAAGGAUUAAAGCUUCGGCGCUUUGGGAACGGCCUGCGUUAGAUUAGCUUGUUGGUGAGGUAAAAGCUCACCAAGGCGACGAUCUAUAGCUGGUCUGA
rnacentral:rRNA from 1 species